UUGCUAACGGAGCGAUUCGGGGGAGGGGCAUCCGGAUCAUCCCAGUUCCCUCCAUGUCUUUUAGGACAGUAUGAAUGGGGCCUUAGGCAAGAAAUUCUCAGAGGUAAUUUUUGUCAGUUCCUUCCUCUGUUAUAAGAGAUGUGCCCUUUUUGAGUGUUGGAAAGCUUUUCUUUGAAUGAGAUGCCAGAAAAACCCUGUAUUUGGUGGUGUAGGCCGUUCAUAAAGACAGAAAUGCAGGUAUCAUGCAAUUUAUGGAUGUGGACAGUAUGCUAAAUUAACUAAAAUUAACACCUUUAUUUGGCUUUUAAGUAGAACACAAACUUGUUAAUAGUAAUUUCCUAAUUGCCAACUACAUAAGCCAUGAAUUUCAAGUGUACCUGACUGCUGUUUUGAAACUCUGCCAACACUACAUGACAUGCUAUUGUAAAUGCAAUGUUUGUGUUUAAAUUCAGGAUAAUGCCACCUAUGGAGCCUGAGGAAGUUGCAAAACAAGUAAUGAAUGGUGUACUAACUAAUGAGAGAAUGAUUUUUAUUCCACCACUUCUGAAAUUCGGUUUAAUGCUGGAUAGGAUUCUUCCAGCCCGUGCAUCUGCAGCUUUCUGGAAGCUGAAUCAACUUAAAUUUGAUUAUGUUCUCGGCUACAAGGAUAAGGAAGAAUAAGGGAAUGGAUUUUUCAUCUCUAGGACCGCAUUGAUAUCAGUUUUUUGUUGUAGCUUUUAAUGUUAUGAUGAUGGAUAAAAUUUAACUCUUGUCUUUCUCAAAUGGUUGCUCCCAGGUUGUAUUGGAAUACAUAUCCCAUCACCUCCACUCACCAUGGGUGAUUGUAUGAAAUUUAUAUGCUAGAUUGCCUAGGGAUGAUAGAGAUGUGGUCUGAUAAAUCUGGAGGGUACUAGAUUUGGGAAUAAUCUAAACCACUGAGAAAUGUCAUAUGCAUGAAACUUUUAGAAAAUAACCCCAAGGACCCUGUGUCUAUAUAUCUGUAGAAAGAAAUUUUGGUUUUUCAUGUAAUUAAUGCCCCAUCUCUUACUUUAAUAAUGGUGAUUCACAUACAGUUUCUUCUGGAAAGUUUGAUUUUUUUUAAAAAGAAAUGAAACUCUUAAUCUGAUUCCUUUAGAGCACGGAUGGGAAUUAUAUAGCCCUCUAAUUAUUGUUGAACUCCACCUAGUAGCCUUCCUCAUCUUGGCUAUUCUGGCUAAGAUUGCUGAAAGUUGCAGUCCAGUGAUAUCUGGAGGGCUAAAUGAUUCUGAACCCUUCUUUAAGGAAAAAUGCAAGAUAUUAUAGAAUACUAGAUGAUAUCAUAGAUGCCCUGAAAGGAAGGAUUUCCAAAGCUUUCCUCUUAAAGUGUUAAAUGAUGUAGUAAAGUCCAGCAAAUAAAAACAAGUAGAAAAGAA